GAACCUGCGGAAGGAUCAUUACCGAGUUUUCGAGCUCCGGCUCGACUCUCCCACCCUUUGUGAACGUACCUCUGUUGCUUUGGCGGCUCCGGCCGCCAAAGGACCUUCAAACUCCAGUCAGUAAACGCAGACGUCUGAUAAACAAGUUAAUAAACUAAAACUUUCAACAACGGAUCUCUUGGUUCUGGCAUCGAUGAAGAACGCAGCGAAAUGCGAUAAGUAAUGUGAAUUGCAGAAUUCAGUGAAUCAUCGAAUCUUUGAACGCACAUUGCGCCCCUUGGUAUUCCGGGGGGCAUGCCUGUUCGAGCGUCAUUACAACCCUCAAGCUCUGCUUGGAAUUGGGCACCGUCCUCACUGCGGACGCGCCUCAAAGACCUCGGCGGUGGCUGUUCAGCCCUCAAGCGUAGUAGAAUACACCUCGCUUUGGAGCGGUUGGCGUCGCCCGCCGGACGAACCUUCUGAACUUUUCUCAAGGUUGACCUCGGAUCAGGUAGGGAUACCCGCUGAACUUAAGCAUAUCAAUAAG
rnacentral:rRNA from 1 species